rnacentral:tRNA from 3 species
GGAUCCGUAGCUCAAUUGGUAGAGCAGCGCCCUCUUAAGGCGUUGGUUGUGGGUUCGAGUCCCACCGGAUUCACAA